GCGGGAGUAGCUCAGUUGGAAGAGUUACGGCCUUCCAAGCCGUUGGUCGCGGGUUCGAAUCCCGUCUCCCGCU
rnacentral:tRNA from 1 species